rnacentral:rRNA from 1 species
ACGAACGCUGGCGGCGUGCCUAAUCCAUGCAAGUAGAACGCACAGUUUAUACCGUAGCUUGCUACACCAUAGACUGUGAGUUGCGAACGGGUGAGUAACGCGUAGGUAACCUGCCUGGUAGCGGGGGAUAACUAUUGGAAACGAUAGCUAAUACCGCAUAAUAUUAAUUAUUGCAUGAUAAUUAAUUGAAAGGUGCAAUUGCACCACUACCAGAUGGACCUGCGUUGUAUUAGCUAGUAGGUGAGGUAACGGCUCACCUAGGCGACGAUACAUAGCCGACCUGAGAGGGUGAUCGGCCACACUGGGACUGAGACACGGCCCAGACUCCUACGGGAGGCAGCAGUAGGGAAUCUUCGGCAAUGGACGAAAGUCUGACCGAGCAACGCCGCGUGAGUGAAGAAGGUUUUCGGAUCGUAAAGCUCUGUUGUAAGAGAAGAACGGGUGUGAGAGUGGAAAGUUCACACUGUGACGGUAUCUUACCAGAAAGGGACGGCUAACUACGUG